rnacentral:rRNA from 1 species
AACGAACGCUGGCGGCAUGCCUAACACAUGCAAGUCGAACGAGACCUUCGGGUCUAGUGGCGCACGGGUGCGUCACGCGUGGGAACCUGCCCUUAGGUUCGGAAUAACUCCCCGACAGGGGUGCUAAUACCGGAUAAUGUCUUCUGACCAAAGAUUUAUCGACUUUGGAUGGGCCCGCGUUGGAUUAGCUAGUUGGUAGGGUAAAAGCCUACUACGGCGACGAUCCAUGACUGGUCUGAGAGGAUGAUCAGCCACACUGGGACUAAGACACGGCCCGGACUCCUACGGGAGGCAGCAGUGGGGAAUAGUGGACAAUGGGGGAAAGCCUGAUCCAGCAAUGCCGGGUGAGUGAUGAAGGCCUUAGGGUUGUAAAGCUCUUUUACCCGGGAUGAUAAUGACAGUACCGGGAGAAUAAGCUCCGGCUAACUACGUG